CCUGGGGAUAGGUGUUAUUGUGACGAUAUACUGAGUUAUCGCGAUAAUGCCCCUUAUUCUUUUUAUUAAAAUGAGAUUGGUGAGGAUGGAAAUCUUUCCUUUUGCCCUGGGAUUGAUAUGUUUGCUGACUUGGCGAAGCAUUAAAUGAGGCCGGGGGGUGUGCUGCUACCGUUUGGAAGGUUGAGGUCUUUUCAUUCGGUUGGAUCUGGCCUCCACUCCCUACUUGCUG
rnacentral:lncRNA from 1 species